GUCUUCAUUUUGGUUUGUGGCCCUUCGUUUCAUAUUUCGAGCCUUUGGAAGAGUUCAUAUAUGGAUAUGUCAGGAUAAUUUGGAGGGGUCCUGGUGAGUUUUUGGCGUGUUUGGGGGAGAUUUGUAUGAAACCCCAGCAAGCUCCAUCGGAACAGACCUGCACGUUGUAAGGCGUGGUGUGAUAGGGUAAUUUUUUAGAGAUUUGACCCUUUUGUUUAAAUAGCCUUCAUUUAUUUCAUCAUUUUUGAAGCUAGAAAACUUGGAUUGAAGCAAUUCUUCAAGGAUUUAUCAUCUACAACGUUGUGGUAAGUGAUCUAACUCGAAUUUGUAAAUACAUCAUGAAUCUAUUAUCAAUUUUAUGUUAUAAAUAUGAAUUGAAGGCGAAAUUUUGGAGAAAACAUAGAAUCAUCUAAAUGAUAAUUUGAAUUCCUAAAUGACGUAAUAUAAGCAUAGAUUUGAACUCGUGAGGUUAUGGAUUAACAGGAUUUGACUUUGGUUUUUGAGUUUGAACAUGUGAGAUCGAGUUUGACUUUGAGUUAACUUUUUGACCUAACUUUAGAUUUUGAUUGAUCUAGUGAGUCCAAUAGCUUUAUUUGACACCCUGCGGAUUUGGACCGAGACAAGGGUGUUCUUCAGGAGUAGCGUAUGCUUGGCCCAAGUUAAAUUAAGACUUGACCUUAGAGAGAAUUUUUCUCAAAUCGUCUUGCUUGCUAUGUGCUAUAUGUUGUCAGUAAUGUAUAUGCGAGGUGACGAGCGUAUACGCGAAUGUCAUGUGAUUCUAUAUUCGGGUAGAAGGAUAAGCUUCAUAUGCUUUACUUUACUUGAUUUAAUUAUUGUAUGACUACUUGAGCAUCUUAUUCGUGCUAGUAUUAUGUUAAAGGUAUUUUUUUUACAUGCUAGUUUAAUGUGAUAGUGUUAUGUAUAUUGGAUUACAUGAGUUACUUGUUAGUCAUACACUAAUUAUUUUUAAUCUUUCAGUCAUGACUAUUUGUGCAUCUUUGUAUGCUGGUAUCAUGUUAUAGGCAUCUCUUCACAUGCUAGUUUAACAUGAUAGGUUAUAUGUAUGUCAGAUACUCUCUUGAUAGUCAUGCACUAAACAUAUGUAUCUUUAUUUGCAUAUGAGGUUCACACAUAGAUGUGAUUUUGGUACGUUGAGUUGUGCAUGCGAGUUAUGUUGAACAUGUUGCUUUUGCCAUGCAGUUAGGCGUGUGGAUUCACAUUCCUGUUGAGAUAUCAGUUAUGGCAUAUUACAUCAUGUUCCUGUAAGGCGUAAAGGAUUUGAAAUACCGUUUAUGUCAUAUUUAGAUCCACAUGAAUCGUCCUCAGAUGUUUCACUCUUGAUGGCUUACACGCGGGUUUGUGAGAAACUGGUAAGCUUUGGUUGAUUUGUGAUACUGAUUGAUUUGAGCAUAAAGGUGGAAACUUUAUUUGGUUUAAGUGAUGCUUUAUUCUACUCAUGCAUUCUUACACACAAUAAUUGUGCAUGUCAUUAUAUAUGCUAUUUUGAUGCAUUACACACAUGCAUAGAACUUGUUAAUGGGCAUUUAUAUAAGCGCUUAGUUGUGUAUAUCAAUAGAUAUACAUUAUUUUUAUGCACUAAUACAUGCAUUGGACUUGCUAGCGAGAUAUGGUGUAUCGCUUUAUAUGCUCUAUUCUGAUAUUAUUAUAUGGUUUGAUUGUGAUUAGCUUAUUAUGCUGCUUCUAUGCACUUUCUCGAUUGUUUUUAUAUAUAUGAAUUGCACAGGUAAAUAAGAGAGUAUUUUGACUAAAUUCUCACCACUACUUUAUUGGAAAAAUAAUUAGUGAUACUUACUAAGUACUGUGCCUAUGUGAGUAUAUUAUACUUUUACAUAUGUGUGCAAAUAUUGGAGUUGAGCAGUUAUAGAGUUUUUAAGCGAGUGAUGGCAGGUUAUAAUUACGUGUUUUAGUCGCUUAUUGCACUCUAAUUCACUGCACUUUAUUUGUGUUUGAGUUUUAAUUGGUUGUGUUUUGCACUUAUUGUGUAUUUUAUGCCUUGUAGGAGUGAUUCCAAGCUAUGUAGAUGUUAUGGAAUGAAUUGAGCGAUCUGGAGCUUUAAAGUAUGAGUAAAAGCCCAAGGGAUUAAAUCGGGAUCGUGUUUGGGGGUCGAAGACCAAGUCUGGACGUCAAAAAUUAAAAUUUGAUCUGUACUAUGAGAAAUCCCCACUGUCGCGACGCGUAGGGCAUCGCGACUGCCUAUUUCCUACUGCCUGAUAGAUUUGACUCUCUGAAUUUCUCCAUUAAUGCCCUGUAUGGCGCAUCGCCCCAUGCGGUGCGCCUGUAUAAUUUUUAUAGAGACAAUGUCCUAUUUCAUCUAGGAGAAUGUGGUUUCGUCUUGGUCUGAUCCUACUUGGUAUAAAUACAUGAAAAAAUGUUAUUCUUUGGACUUUUGACAUACUUUGGACCUAAGGAGGCUAAGGAGGAGUUGGAAGAACAUAAGAACAAAGAUUUCAUCAUUCCUUCCUCACUCAAGAACCGAGUUUGGAUUGAAUUUAUGUUUUCCUAUACUCUAAUUAUAUUUGUGAUAAACUUCUCCAUAUCUAUGGAGUAGUUCUCUUUAGGGUUUGAUAGAUUUGGUGUAUUGAUAAUUGUUUGUGGAUUAUAACUGUAGUUUUAUGUAUUAAAGCAUUUUUGGAUGAUUUAGUUGUUGCAUCUAUAUUCACUAGUUCAUGUAAUCGAGAGAGG
rnacentral:lncRNA from 1 species